GUGAGAAGGAUGAUGUUUCUAAUGCCGAUAAGACUCUUGCAACCGAAAAGCAGCUAGAACACAAAAAAACCACCAACAGAUAUGAGCAAGGGCAAUAAGUAGGGUGUGCCUCCUGAGACAGAAGAAAAGGAGGAUAAGGGGAUGACUAUGGAAGAGUACGAGAAGACAAGGGAGGAGAAAAGAAAGUCUUUACUUGCAAUAAAAGUCAGAAAGGAAGGUUGAAAUUGACAAAGAUUUGCGGUCUAUGCAGUAAACCUUCAACCAAGAAAGGAAAGCCAUGCUGUGUUCGUAUAUGCUAUGUUUUGUUUGUCGUAUUGCUACUAAGGUACAUUACUAAUUUUAUGAUUUAUUUUUUUUUGCAAAGGAUAAAUCUUGAUCCUAUAUCAUAGGAUGAUUUGAUAAAGUUUUUAUUAAUCAAACUAGCUAGCAUGUUCAUUUUUA